rnacentral:lncRNA from 10 species
CUUUCCAUUCCAUUCCAUUUCAUUCCAUUCCAGUUGAUUCCAUUGCGUUCCAUUCCAUUCAAAUGCAUUCCAUUCCAUUCCAUUCCAUUCCAUUCCAUUCCAUUCCAUUCCAUUCCAUUCCAUUCGGGUUGAUUCCAUUCCAUUCAAUUCCAUUCCAUUCCACUCCAUUCCAUUACAUUUCAUUGCACUCUGGUUGAUUCCAUUCCAUUCCAUUCCAAUCCAUUGCAUUCCGUUCCAUUGCAUUCGGGUUCAUUCCAUUCCAUUCCGUUCCGUUCCAUUCCAUUCCAUUCCAUUCCAAUCCAUUCCAUUGCAUUCCAUUCGUGUUGAUUCCAUUGCAUUCCAUUCCAUUCCACUCCAUUCCAUUCCAUUUCAUUCCAUUCCAGUUGAUUCCAUUCCUUUCCAUUCCAUUCCAUUCCAUUCCAUUCUGUUACAUUCUACUCGGGUUGAUUCCAUUCCAUUCCAUUUCAUUCCAUUCGAUUUCAUUCCACUGGUGUUUAUUCCAUUCCACUCCAUUCCAUUCCAUUCCAUUCGGGUAGAUUCCAUUCCAUUGCAUUCCAUUCCAUUCCGUUCCGUUCCAUUCCAUUCCAUUCCAUUCCAUUCCAUUCCAUUCCAUUAAAUUCCAUUCCAUUCCAUUCCACUCGGGUAGAUUCCAUUCCAUUC